rnacentral:misc_RNA from 1 species
UCGAAUCUUUGAACGCACAUUGCGCCCCUUGGUAUUCCAGGGGGCAUGCCUGUUUGAGCGUCAUUUCCUUCUCAAACAUUCUGUUUGGUAGUGAGUGAUACUCUUUGGAGUUAACUUGAAAUUGCUGGCCUUUUCAUUGGAUGUUUUUUUUUUCCAAAAAAAGGUUUCCCUGCGGGCUUGAGGUAAAAGGCAAUUACGGUCGUUUUAGGUUUUACCAACGGCGGCUAACCUUUUUUAUACGGAGCGUAUGGAAACU